UACAGAGGGUGCGAGCGUUGCUCGGAAUCACUGGGCGUAAAGGGUGCGUAGGCGGCCUAUCAAGUCAGAGGUGAAAGACGGUAGCUUAACUAUCGCAGUGCCUUUGAAACUGGUGGGCUUGAAUGUACUUGAGGUGGGCGGAAUGAGACAAGUAGCGGUGAAAUGCAUAGAUAUGUCUCAGAACCCCGAUUGCGAAGGCAGCUCACUAAAGUAUGACUGACGCUGAUGCACGAAAGCGUGGGGAUCAAACAGG
rnacentral:rRNA from 1 species